rnacentral:rRNA from 1 species
GUGGGGAAUAUUCCGCAAUGGGCGCAAGCCUGACGGAGCAACGCCGCGUGAAUGAAGACGGUCUUCGGAUUGUAAAGUUCUGUCAUUAGGGACGAAGGACUCAUGUAAAUAAUAUGAGGAAUGACGGUACCUAAGGAGGAAGCUCCGGCUAACUACGUGCCAGCAGCCGCGGUAAUACGUAGGGAGCAAGCGUUGUCCGGAAUUACUGGGCGUAAAGGGCGCGUAGGCGGAUAAUUAAGUCAGAUGUGAAAUCUCCAGGCUUAACUUGGAGCGUGCAUUUGAAACUGGUUAUCUUGAGGGCAGGAGAGGAAAGUGGAAUUCCUAGUGUAGCGGUGAAAUGCGUAGAUAUUAGGAGGAACACCAGUGGCGAAGGCGACUUUCUGGACUGAACCUGACGCUGAGGCGCGAAAGCAUGGGGAGCGAACGGGAUUAGAUACCCGUGUAGUCC